GUCGAGCGGUAAGGCCUUUCGGGGUACACGAGCGGCGAACGGGUGAGUAACACGUGGGUGAUCUGCCCUGCACUCUGGGAUAAGCCCGGGAAACUGGGUCUAAUACCGGAUAUGACCGCAUGCUGCAUGGUGUGUGGUGGAAAGAUUUAUCGGUGCAGGAUGGGCCCGCGGCCUAUCAGCUUGUUGGUGGGGUAAUGGCCUACCAAGGCGACGACGGGUAGCCGACCUGAGAGGGUGACCGGCCACACUGGGACUGAGACACGGCCCAGACUCCUACGGGAGGCAGCAGUGGGGAAUAUUGCACAAUGGGCGGAAGCCUGAUGCAGCGACGCCGCGUGAGGGAUGAAGGCCUUCGGGUUGUAAACCUCUUUCAGCAGGGACGAAGCGUGAGUGACGGUACCUGCAGAAGAAGCACCGGCUAACUACGUGCCAGCAGCCGCGGUAAUACGUAGGGUGCGAGCGUUGUCCGGAAUUACUGGGCGUAAAGAGUUCGUAGGCGGUUUGUCGCGUCGUUUGUGAAAACCCGGGGCUCAACUUCGGGCUUGCAGGCGAUACGGGCAGACUUGAGUGUUUCAGGGGAGACUGGAAUUCCUGGUGUAGCGGUGAAAUGCGCAGAUAUCAGGAGGAACACCGGUGGCGAAGGCGGGUCUCUGGGAAACAACUGACGCUGAGGAACGAAAGCGUGGGUAG
rnacentral:rRNA from 1 species